rnacentral:rRNA from 1 species
GGUAUGGGAUGAGCUUGCGUCCGAUUAGCUAGUUGGCGGGGCAACGGCCCACCAAGGCGACGAUCGGUAGCCGGCCUGAGAGGGUGAUCGGCCACAUUGGGACUGAGAUACGGCCCAGACUCCUACGGGAGGCGGCAGUAGGGAAUAUUGCACAAUGGGGGAAACCCUGAUGCAGCAACGCCACGUGUGGGAAGAAGCAUUUCGGUGUGUAAACCACUGUCAUGAGGGAAUAAGGCCCGUUUUCGGACGGGAUUGAAUGUACCUUGAGAGGAAGCACCGGCAAACUUCGUGCCAGCAGCCGCGGUAAUACGAGGGGUGCAAGCGUUGUUCGGAAUUACUGGGCGUAAAGGGAGCGUAGGCGGAGAUUCAAGCGGAUUGUACAAUCCCGGGGCCCAACCCCGGCUCUGCAGUCCGAACUGGAUUUCUUGGAUAGUUCAGGGGCAGGC